CAGUAGCCGCGGUAAUGCGUAGGUGGCAAGCGUUGUCCGGAAUUAUUGGGCGUAAAGGGCUCGCAGGCGGUUUCUUAAGUCUGAUGUGAAAGCCCCCGGCUCAACCGGGGAGGGUCAUUGGAAACUGGGAAACUUGAGUGCAGAAGAGGAGAGUGGAAUUCCACGUGUAGCGGUGAAAUGCGUAGAGAUGUGGAGGAACACCAGUGGCGAAGGCGACUCUCUGGUCUGUAACUGACGCUGAGGAGCGAAAGCGUGGGGAGCGAACAGGAUUAGAUACCCCCGUAGUCCCUGUCUCUUAUAC
rnacentral:rRNA from 1 species